UACAGAGGGUGCAAGCGUUAAUCGGAAUUACUGGGCGUAAAGCGCGCGUAGGUGGUUUGUUAAGUUGGAUGUGAAAUCCCCGGGCUUAACCUGGGAAUGGCGCUUGUUACUGGCAGGCUAGAGUGUGUCAGAGGGAGGUAGAAUUCCACGUGUAGCAGUGAAAUGCGUAGAGAUGUGGAGGAAUACCGAUGGCGAAGGCAGCCUCCUGGGAUAACACUGACGCUGAGGCACGAAAGCGUGGGGAGCAAACAGG
rnacentral:rRNA from 1 species